UACGGAGGGUGCAAACGUUGCUCGGAAUCAUUGGGCGUAAAGCGCACGUAGGCGGCCUGUUAAGUCGGGUGUGAAAGCCCUGGGCUCAACCCAGGAAGUGCACUCGAAACUGGCGGACUUGAAUAUGGAAGAGGGUCGCGGAAUUCCCGGUGUAGAGGUAGAAUUCGUAGAUAUCGGGAGGAACACCAGUGGCGAAGGCGGCGACCUGGGCCAAUAUUGACGCUGAGGUGCGAAAGCGUGGGGAGCAAACAGG
rnacentral:rRNA from 1 species